CACUUCCAAACGAUACCCCUGCCAUUAACAGCCGGAUUCCUCCAGCGGCUCUCCCUCUCACUGAUACCAGCCCAGAGACAGAAAUACCACCACUGGCCCCAGAGGUGAAUCUGUUCCCUGCGUGCCAGACUGUGGCGCUCUGAGAAAUACCAGCCUUGCGAAUGUGCGGCCCGGGCUACAGGCAGACCAGGAAGAGGGCAGUUUGGGGUGAUCCCUGCAGAGUGGGGUAAUCCUUCUUUCCACUUAAUAUCCCCCGCAAAGGCUUUUCCUAGGAUUAACCAUUCGGCUCAGUUUGCGCAUAGUCGUUGUAUGACUGGAUUCCUGCAUGCAACUGCUGCUGCUUGGACUGAAAGGUUAGUGCUUCAUACAAGCCUUGGGGCCCGGGAAGUGUUGGCAAUAAAGUCUGAUAUGAAUCCUUAUCAUCACUUGCUAGUCCUGAUAACACUUGACUCAAAACCCCACACAGCUGCCAUCUAGCUCCGUGUCAGGUGCACAAAAAUCUUUCCCUUUCAUUUCGGAACGAAACUGAUAAUUGGCUAAACAUUUUAAUGAUGUCCACCUCUGUAAAAUCAUUCACAGAAACCUCUAUCAGAGCGAUUUGCAUCAUUGUGUUUGCUAAAGGAUUGGCACUGCAAACAAUUUAUCUUCACACCGUAUAUAAGUUUAUAUAAAUACAUUGCAAACAUAGACUUCCCACGGGCUGUCUGCUCCUUUGAGACCAAGGACUUUGCAAGAAUGAAGUGCUUCCUGGGUUUCCUUCUUGCCAUUGGCAUCUUGGUGACACUAUGUGAUGCAUACUGUUUUUUUGAACCAGAUAGCCUACAGAAAUCUACCCAAGGUUGUAUUCAAGAUGGAAAACAAUAUCUAUAUGGUGCCACGUGGAUUAAGGACUGCCACAGUUGCACCUGCGGAGAGGAGGGAAUAAGCUGCUGCUCCACGU
rnacentral:lncRNA from 1 species